UCCAGCCUACUGCCUGUGAGGAGAGGCCGCGGAACCCCUCUUUGGCACCGGGUACCCCGCGAAGCCCAGUCCGCGGCGGGGGAGGCGCCCAGCGUCCCCUCAGGUAACGGUUCCGAGGCGGGAUGGAGCGUCCCUAGCGCCCUGCGGUAGGAAUGCGCCCGGGUGCCUUUAAUACUUUAUACACGUUAAAAAAAAGGCCGGCCACAGGUGUGGCUGCUUUCCCUGGGCACGGAGGAGGUGGCCGUAAGGCGGUGAGCUCUGGGGCUGGGGAGCCCUCGCCGCUGGGAGCCGAGCGGGCGCCGCAGCCUGUGUCCGGGGAGCUGCACAAGCACCGGGCCGCCGCCAUCGGUAGUUUCCCGACCUCCUUCCCUCAUAAACCGUCAGCGUUCAGUGGUUCCCUUCCCGCGUGAGGAGUCCCGGCAGAGGGCAGAGUGGUCACACCGGAGCCCUUCUACGUGGGAAGGGACGCCGUCCCUCGCUCCGCCCUUCUGUUCUGCGCCUCCUACAAAGUCUAUUAAAGCGUAAGAAAAGCCGAUGACAGGUUAUGCGAACUUACCUGUAAAAACCAGACGGACAAAAUGAAGUAAUACACUACCCGUAUAAGGCUGUACAGGAAUUUUAUUUUUAAUUUCAUUUGGAAAAUAGUACUCGCCGUUGAACAGCAUCGUAAAGUCACUCCUGGAAACUCGAGUCUCAGUCCAUAAUGGAAACCUAUCACAUGCAGUUCACUGAAGUCGUCCUCAGGUUAUUUAAGAUGUGCUGCGGAGCAGAAGGACCUCAUCUACCACUGCCAAAGGAAAAUGCUCCCUGUUAUAUUCAGUUGUAGGCAGGCAUUUCAGAAGAAUCAUCAUUGGGUGUUUUGUUUUUUCCUUCUGAAGUGGGCAUCUGUUCAAAGAAACCCAGCAGAGCUAGAGAGACAGCUUGCUCUUCUACUGUGCAGGUCAAGGCAGCACCUUUCAGGCCUUUUUUUUUUUCAGAUGAGAUUGAAACUAGUAGCUGUAAGCUGCUAAGUACCAUCUUUCCUGCAGGCCGCUUUCCAUGCACUUAAUUUUGAAAUAUUUUUUUAACUCUAGAGUGUCAAGCCUUUGUCACACAUAAGUUCCUUUUAGCACUACACUUCUGUCAGAGGUUGCUGUGCCCACAACAGACCGAGUUCAACAAAAAUGUGUGCUUAACCAUGAUCGACUUCAGUGCAAAGUCUGGUGGUCUUGCUGAGAGCUACCAGCUCUGCUGUACAGGCAGGAAUCUCCAGAAUGGUCUAAAGAAAAGUGCUGUCAGUGCUAACUUUGCAGCCUGGCACAACUAGUUUGCUUGAUCCUACCUGUCAACCCUUUUAGAUAUAACAAAAAGGAAUAUCAAAUGAAUGCCAAACUUCUGAACAAACACCAUGGCUACAGGGUGCACUUCUGCAGACAAAGGUCUUUUUUGUUGAGAAGAAAGAUACAAGUCCUUCAGAGCAUUUUUUCCCAGGAUCAAGCGUUUGACAAAUGGUUCAAAUGCAUCUGUAUCAAAAUUUUAGUUCAGAAGAAGAGUGCACUUCUGAACAAGUCUCAAAGCAUGCAAAUUGUUACUGUGUCACAUGACUUGCUAAAGCAGACAUAGUGGAUGGUUCCUGUGCUCUUCCUUUCCCCCCAUUUUUAACAGAGGGCAUUUCAUGCUUUCUGGUCUUGGUAACUCUACCUGGUUCUGAGAUUUCAUCAGCCAGCUGCUUCAGUAUCCAAGGAUGAAACUCAGCUCUGAGCCAGUUUGAGUACAUAUUACUCGCCUAAAUACAUUCUGACUUGUUUCUUCCAUAUUUGUACUGACAUCUUGCUCGUGAAGGGACUGUGUGGGUAACAGCGCUCAGUGAGAUAAGAACAUUUGCUAUUCUAAUAAUAGAGCAGCGGAGAACAAAAGCAAAGAAUAUAAUGCUUUCUGCUUCUUUGGAACAUGUAUCCUGUUUUAUGUAAUGAUGAAGUGGCCUGCGGGCACAGGUUUCCCAACAUGGAGGAAAGGGUUUCAGCUCUCUCCUCACAACUAGUUAGUGCAGCGCACUUCCCCACAUCACACAGUGUGGUCAAGGUCUUGGGACUGUACAGCUUGCUUGCCCCUAGCCCUAUCGUGUCUGACUGUCCCUGAACAAGUAGGGCCAUCCAAACUGGCUCAUCUCAAGGAAAUACUGGCAUACUAGUAAAAUUAAUGGGAAUAAAUCUAUUUUAAAAACAUGUUCCAUGCCAUAUGAUUCCAUUGGGGGUAAUAAAAUCUGCAAAUUUCCAUUCUGGCCACCAUUCAGUUGCUAUAAAGUAUCACAUCAUAGUUUCUUUCAAGAAAGAAGUCCAUUCAUUCAAGUCUGUCUAAGAGCAAAUGAACAAACCUGGAGGCAUUCAGUAGGUCUGUGCUGAGGUGUUACUGUGAUCACUGUUCAAAGGUUAUAAUCUGCUAAUAGGGAGCACAUCGUGGAACUCAGGCUACUAAUUAGAGAAAUGUUUUGUUAUGCAGUGUGUAACUAUUAUUAGUGUGUAUUAGCAUAGCUGAACAAGAAACCUCACUAGUAAAGACAGCUGGGGUCUGCUCUCAAACUAAUGCCCUCUAAAUUGCCAGUCAUGAGAUCUACCCUGCCCAUUCAUCUUCUGAAUUGCCAAUCUUGAGAUCUGCUCUGCCCUUUCUGACAUUCACACUGGUCACAACACUGUGCUUAGACUUUAAGACAGGAAAAGUAUGUAAUAGUAAUUCAUUGAAG